CGCUGGCGGCGGGCCUCAUACAUGCAAGUCGAGCGCGAAAGUCCGCAAGGAUGAGUAAAGCGGCGCACGGGUGAGUAACACGUAGGUAACCUGCCCCUAAGUCUGGAACAACUAGAGGAAACUCUAGCUAAUGCCGGAUAAGACCACGAUCCCCUCGGGGGUUGCGGCCAAAGAUGGCCUCUACUUGUAAGCUAUCGCUGAGGGAUGGGCCUGCGGGCCAUUAGCUUGUUGGUGAGGUAACGGCUCACCAAGGCUGUGAUGGCUAGCUGGUCUGAGAGGAUGACCAGCCACACUGGGACUGAGACACGGCCCAGACUCCUACGGGAGGCAGCAGUGGGGAAUAUUGCGCAAUGGGCGAAAGCCUGACGCAGCGACGCCGCGUGGGUGAUGAAGGCCUUCGGGUCGUAAAGCCCUGUCGCAGGGGAAGAAUAAGCGGAGGGAUAAUACCUCUCCGCCCUGACGGUACCCUGCAAGAAAGCACCGGCUAACUCCGUG
rnacentral:rRNA from 1 species